AACUACCCUCUGGACGCGGAUAACCUCGGGAAACUGAGGGCUAAUCCGUGAUAGUAUUCGGUGCCUGGAGUGGCACGAAUAUGAAAUGCUCCGGCGCCAGAGGAUGUGGCUGCGGCCGAUUAGGUAGACGGUGGGGUAACGGCCCACCGUGCCAGUAAUCGGUACGGGUUGUGAGAGCAAGAGCCCGGAGACGGUAUCUGAGACAAGAUACCGGGCCCUACGGGGCGCAGCAGGCGCGAAACCUUUACACUGCACGCCAGUGCGAUAAGGGGACUCCGAGUGCGAGGGCAUAUAGUCCUCGCUUUUCUGUACCGUAAGGUGGUACAGGAAUAAGUGCUGGGCAAGACCGGUGCCAGCCGCCGCGGUAAUACCGGCAGCACGAGUGAUGACCGCUAUUAUUGGGCCUAAAGCGUCCGUAGCUGGCCGUGCAAGUCCAUCGGGAAAUCCGCGUGCUUAACACGCGGACGUCCGGUGGAAACUGUUCGGCUUGGGACCGGAAGACCUAGGGGGUACGUCUGGGGUAGGAGUGAAAUCCCGUAAUCCUGGACGGACCACCGGUGGCGAAAGCGCCCUAGGAAGACGGAUCCGACGGUGAGGGACGAAAGCUCGGGUCACGAACCGGAUUAGAUACCCGGGUAGUCCGAGCAGUAAACGAUGUCUGCUAGGUGUGACACAGGCUACGAGCCUGUGUUGUGCCGUAGGGAAGCCGUGAAGCAGACCGCCUGGGAAGUACGUCCGCAAGGAGUAACU
rnacentral:rRNA from 1 species